AUUGAACGCUGGCGGCAUGCUUUACACAUGCAAGUCGAACGGCAGCACGUGCUGGGAAACCAGUAUGGUGGCGAGUGGCGGACGGGUGAGUAGAACAUCGGAACGUACCCAGUUGAGGGGGAUAACCUAGCGAAAGUUAGGCUAAUACCGCGUAAGCUUGAAGAAGGAAAGCAGGGGAUCUUAGGACCUUGCGCGAUUGGAGCGGCCGAUGACUGAUUAGCUAGUUGGUGGGGUAAAGGCCUACCAAGGCGACGAUCGGUAGCUGAUCUGAGAGGAUGAUCAGCCACACUGGGAAUGAGAGACGGCCCAGACUCCUACGGGAGGCAGCAGUGGGGAAUUUUGGACAAUGGGCGAAAGCCUGAUCCAGCAAUGCCGCGUGGGUGAAGAAGGCCUUAGGGUUGUAAAGCCCUUUUAGCGGGGAAGAAAGGGUAUCUGCGAAUAGUGGAUAUUGAUGACGGUACCCGCAGAAAAAGCACCGGCAAACUACGUGCCAGCAGCCGCGGUAACACGUAGGGUGCGAGCGUUAAUCGGAAUUAUUGGGCGUAAAGAGUGCGCAGGCGGAUAGGUAAGUCAGGUGUGAAAUUCCUGGGCUCAACUUGGGGACAGCACUUGAAACUACGUAUCUAGAGUGGGGCAGAGGGAGGUGGAAUUCCACGUGUAGCAGUGAAAUGCGUAGAGAUGUGGAGGAACACCGAUGGCGAAGGCAGCCUCCUGGGCCAGCACUGACGCUCAUGUACGAAAGCGUGGGUAGCAAACAGG
rnacentral:rRNA from 1 species